UAAUACGUAGGGGGCAAGCGUUGUCCGGAAUCAUUGGGCGUAAAGAGCGCGUAGGCGGCCCUGUAAGUCCGCUGUGAAAGUCAAGGGCUCAACCCUUGAAUGCCGGUGGAUACUGCAGGGCUAGAGUCCGGAAGAGGCGAGUGGAAUUCCUGGUGUAGCGGUGAAAUGCGCAGAUAUCAGGAGGAACACCGAUGGCGAAGGCAGCUCGCUGGGACGGUACUGACGCUGAGGCGCGAAAGCGUGGGGAGCAAACAGGAUUAGAUACCCUGGUAGUCCACGCCGUAAACGAUGGGCACUAGGUGUGGGAGGUGUCGACUCCUCCCGUGCCGAAGCUAACGCAUUAAGUGCCCCGCCUGGGGAGUACGGCCGCAAGGCUA
rnacentral:rRNA from 1 species